rnacentral:siRNA from 1 species
AAGGGCCUGGAUUUAGUCACAGUC